rnacentral:rRNA from 1 species
AUUGAACGCUGGCGGCAAGCCUAACACAUGCAAGUCGAACGAGUGGCGGACGGGUGAGUACUGUCUGGGAAACUGCCUGAUGGAGGGGGAUAACUACUGGAAACUGUCUCUAAUACCGCAUACCCUCGUAUGUGCCCAGCUGGGAUUAGCUAGUAGGUGGGGUAAAGGCUCACCUAGGCGACGAUCCCUAGCUGGUCUGAGAGGAUGACCAGCCAAACUGGAACUGAGACACGGGCCAGACGCCUACGGGAGGCAGCAGUGGGGAAUAUUGCACAAUGGGCGCAAGCCUGAUGCAGCCAUGCCGCGUGUAUGAAGAAGGCCGUCGGGUUGUAAAGUACUUUCAGCGGGGAGGCGUUACCCGCAGAAGAAGCACCGGCUAACUCCGUGCCAGCAGCCGCGGUAAUAC